CCGCCCUGAUGCAGCCAGCCACCAUGGCCUCCACCGCGCUCUCCACCGCCUCCAACCCUACCCAGCUCUGCCGGACCCGCGCAAGCUCGCUGUGCAAGCCCGUCAAGGGCCUGGGCUUCGGCCGGGAGCGCAUCCCGAGGAACAUCACCUGCAUGGCCGGCAGCAUCUCCGCGGACCGCGUCCCGGACAUGAGCAAGAGGGAGCUGAUUAACCUCC